rnacentral:tRNA from 3 species
GGCUGGGUAGCUCAGCUGGUUAGAGCGCGGCACUCAUAAUGCCGAGGUCGGCAGUUCAAGUCUGCCUCCAGCUACCA